rnacentral:rRNA from 1 species
GACGAACGCUGGCGGCGUGCUUAACACAUGCAAGUCGAGCGGUAAGGCCUUUCGGGGUACACGAGCGGCGAACGGGUGAGUAACACGUGGGUGAUCUGCCCUGCACUCUGGGAUAAGCUUGGGAAACUGGGUCUAAUACCGGAUAUGACCACAGCAUGCAUGUGUUGUGGUGGAAAGAUUUAUCGGUGCAGGAUGGGCCCGCGGCCUAUCAGCUUGUUGGUGGGGUAAUGGCCUACCAAGGCGACGACGGGUAGCCGACCUGAGAGGGUGACCGGCCACACUGGGACUGAGACACGGCCCAGACUCCUACGGGAGGCAGCAGUGGGGAAUAUUGCACAAUGGGCGGAAGCCUGAUGCAGCGACGCCGCGUGAGGGAUGAAGGCCUUCGGGUUGUAAACCUCUUUCAGCAGGGACGAA